rnacentral:tRNA from 1 species
GGGGGGUUAGCUCAGUGGUUAGAGCAGGGCGCUCAUAACGCCUUGGUCGUGGGUUCAAGUCCCUCACCCCCCACCA